UGAGGAAGACAGGCAAUCGCGGGCCGCGCUGGCGGUCCGAGGAAAGUCCGAACUCCAUAGAGCAGAAUGCUGGAUAACGUCCAGUGAGGGCAACCUCAAGGAAAGUGCCACAGAAACAUACCGCCGGUCAGCAGGUAGAAGAAGGCCGGUAAGGGUGAAAUGGUGAGGUAAGAGCUCACCGGCAGCCAGGUGACUGGCUGGCCGGGUAAACCCCAUUCGGAGCAAGACCAGAUAGAAGGGAUAGCCGCUACGGUACACCCGCAAGGGAGUACGGCGGCUAGCAGGCUGCUCGUCUGUGAACCUUCGGGUUGGUCGCUUGAGGCGCCGGGUAACCGGCGUCCUAGAUAGAUGAUUGCCACCCGUGUCGUCGAGAGGCGGCGCGGGGACAGAAUUCGGCUUAUGGCUUCCUCAACUC
rnacentral:RNase_P_RNA from 1 species